rnacentral:rRNA from 1 species
GGUUGUAAACGCUUUUAUGCGGGGAUAAAGUGAGGGACGUGUCCCUUUUUGCAGGUACCGCAUGAAUAAGGACCGGCUAAUUCCGUGCCAGCAGCCGCGGUAAUACGGAAGGUCCGGGCGUUAUCCGGAUUUAUUGGGUUUAAAGGGAGCGUAGGCCGGGGAUUAAGUGUGUUGUGAAAUGUACGGCGCCCAACGUCUGACUUGCAGCGCAUACUGGUUCCCUUGAGUACGCGCAACGCCGGCGGAAUUCGUCGUGUAGCGGUGAAAUGCUUAGAUAUGACGAAGAGACCCUGAUUGCGAAGGCAGCCGGCGGGAGCGCAACUGACGCUGAAGCUCGAAGGUGCGGGUAUCGAACAGGAUUAGAUACCCUGGUAUUCCGCACGGUAAACGAUGGAUGCCCCCUGUUCGCGCCUGCCCCGCGGCCAAGCGAAAGCGUUAAGCAUCCCACCUGGGGAGUACGCCGGCAACGGUGAAACUCAAAGGAAUUGACGGGGGCCCGCACAAGCGG